rnacentral:rRNA from 1 species
GACGGUAACAGCCCGGUAGUUGAAAUGGCUUUCCCUCCAGAGUGGAUCCUGAGUACGGCGGAACACGUGAAAUUCCGUCGGAAUCCGGGAGGACCAUCUCCCAAGGCUAAAUACUCCCUAGUGACCGAUAGUGAACCAGUACCGUGAGGGAAAGGUGAAAAGCACCCCGGAAGGGGAGUGAAACAGUUCCUGAAACCGUGUGCCUACAAGUAGUUAGAGCCCGUUAAUGGGUGAUAGCGUGCCUUUUGUAGAAUGAACCGGCGAGUUACGAUUUGUUGCAAGGUUAAGCGGAAAAAGCGGAGCCGUAGCGAAAGCGAGUCUGAAUAGGGCGCAUAAGUAACAGGUCGUAGACCCGAAACCAGGUGAUCUACCCAUGUCCAGGAUGAAGGUAAGGUAAUACUUACUGGAGGUCCGAACCCACGCACGUUGAAAAGUGCGGGGAUGAGGUGUGGGUAGCGGAGAAAUUCCAAUCGAACUUGGAGAUAGCUGGUUCUCUCCGAAAUAGCUUUAGGGCUAGCCUCGAGGUAAAGAGUCAUGGAGGUAGAGCACUGUUUGGACUAGGGGCCCUUCUCGGGUUACCGAAUUCAGAUAAACUCCGAAUGCCAUGUACUUAUACUCGGGAGUCAGACUGCGAGUGAUAAGAUCCGUAGUCG